GACAGCUGGCUGGUGGUGCUGGGAGGAAGGAAGUGGGAGAUGGGAAAAGCGGAGUCAGAGGUCUUGUGCGGCAGCUGCUGUCCCUGGAUUUGAGUGGUCAGCAAUCAGGGCUCUUGGAAGCCGGGACUGAGCAGCUGCUGCUCCCACACGGAGUCUGGGCCCGGGAGAGACCUGCAUUACAGCCCCCUCUGUGCCCAGCAGAGAUGGGGACUUUCUCCAGUGGCUGGAACUAGUCCCCCUGCGGGCAGCCCCGGGCUCUGCCGACAUCCUGAGCUGGAGACUGCAGGAGGGGCUGCAAGAGCAUCUGUGCUGUGCGAGAAACGAGCAAAGAAAAGCCAAAGAUGACAAGGAGAGGCAAAGAGCGGUAUGGCUGAAACAGACAGAAGCUAAGAGGCAGAAAAUUAUCCGGGAGUGGAAGAAGCUAUGUGGGUUUCUGCAGGAGCAGCUUACUGCUGUCCUAGCUGGAAGAGCUAGACAGAGCAAUUGUCAAGAGAGGGGAUGAGAGGAUCUCUGAACUGUGCCUGGAGAUUUCCCUGCUCAGUGAAAUGGGAGGAGAGAAUGGAUAGGAGCCGCUGAGCCAAUCCGUACAGGAUUUCUUCUUCCCAAACCUGACAUGAUCUCCAAGGUGGAACAAGGGGAAAUGCAGGGGUCCCAGAUCUCCAGGGCUCCAAGGAGAGGGAGAUCUUGAGAGGUACCUGUGCAGAUGAGGAGUCCUUUAAACCGACUCAGAGACAAUUCUUGAAUGACAGAAACAGCUUGGAUUCCCCAAAACGCCACUUUAGCUGCUCCACUUCUGGAUUGUACCCAGCAGGUGUUGUAUCCUCAUUGCAGACGUCACUCAUGUCUUCACACCCACCAUCACUGACACCUGGCAGCACCUCCUUGCCACCCGAGAUAGGAUCUUCUCUAUUCUCUGGGAAAAAAUUAUGGAGAUUCUGAUUUUUUUUUGAUCUCCCAACAGUUCAUUUCAUUUGUGUCUCCCCCCACACAUCCACCACCCCAUUUGC